AUGAACGCUGGCGGCGUGCCUAAUACCUGCCAGUCGAGCGAACAGACGAGGAGCUUGCUCCUCUGACGUUAGCGGCGGACGGGUGAGUAACACGUGGAUAACCUACCUAUAAGACUGGGAUAACUUCGGUAAACCGGAGCUAAUACCGGAUAAUAUAUUGAACCGCAUGGUUCAAUAGUGAAAGACGGUUUUGCUGUCACUUAUAGAUGGAUCCGCGCCGCAUUAGCUAGUUGGUAAGGUAACGGCUUACCAAGGCAACGAUGCGUAGCCGACCUGAGAGGGUGAUCGGCCACACUGGAACUGAGACACGGUCCAGACUCCUACGGGAGGCAGCAGUAGGGAAUCUUCCGCAAUGGGCGAAAGCCUGACGGAGCAACGCCGCGUGAGUGAUGAAGGUCUUCGGAUCGUAAAACUCUGUUAUUAGGGAAGAACAAAUGUGUAAGUAAAUAUGCACGUCUUGACGGUACCUAAUCAGAAAGCCACGGCUAACUACGUG
rnacentral:rRNA from 1 species